rnacentral:rRNA from 1 species
GGGUCAGUAGGUUGGUCAUGCCACUGGUAUGUACUGGUCCCACUGAUUCCUCCUUCCUGAUGAGCCGUAAUGCCAUUAAUUUGGUGUCGCAGGGAAUCAGGACUGUUACUUUGAAAAAAUUAGAGUGUUUAAAGCAGGCUCACGCUUGAAUACAUUAGCAUGGAAUAAUGAAAUAGGACGUUUGAUUCUAUUUUGUUGGUUUCUAGGAUUGACGUA